GGGUGCGAACAUACCAGCACUAACGCAACGGAUCCCAUCAGAACUCCGAAAUUAAGUGUGUUUGGGCGAGAGUAUUACUAGGAUGGGUGACCCCCUGGGAAGUACUCGUGUUGCACCCA
rnacentral:rRNA from 1 species